rnacentral:rRNA from 1 species
UGGGGAAUAUUGCACAAUGGGCGCAAGCCUGAUGCAGCCAUGCCGCGUGUAUGAAGAAGGCCUUCGGGUUGUAAAGUACUUUCAGGGGGGAGGAAGGCGAUAAGGUUAAUAACCUUGUCGAUUGACGUUACCCGCAGAAGAAGCACCGGCUAACUCCGUGCCAGCAGCCGCGGUAAUACGGAGGGUGCAAGCGUUAAUCGGAAUUACUGGGCGUAAAGCGCACGCUGGCGGUCUGUCAAGUCGGAUGUGAAAUCCCCGGGCUCAACCUGGGAACUGCAUUCGAAACUGGCAGGGUAGAGUCUUGUAGAGGGGGGUAGAAUUCCAGGUGUAGCGGUGAAAUGCGUAGAGAUCUGGAGGAAUACCGGUGGCGAAGGCGGCCCCCUGGACAAAGACUGACGCUCAGGUGCGAAAGCGUGGGGAGCAAACAGG